rnacentral:misc_RNA from 1 species
AAAGUUGAAACGAUCCAAGGGCGGAAUUUUCCUGCCAAACUUCCUCUGUUUCUUCCCUCCUCCUCUACGUAUAUAAACUGCUAUGGCGAUGAAGCUUGUGUAGAAGAUGGAGAAGAGGAUUUUUGGGAAAGAAGAUUUGAGUGUUAAUAUGGGUUUCCCAGUUCAUAGUCAAGUGAUUAAGAUCAAGCAAGAAUCAAAUAAAAUCAUAGAUUGGUCUGCAGGGCAACAGGAGAUGAGACCUGUUCUUAAAGAAAUCUCCGGUGUUCGCCAUAUCUCUCGUUCUCCUUUGGGAUUAGCUACAAGACCCGUAUCCGUUGGCGAUUCAUAGAAUACAGUAACGUUUCUAUUGGAGGAUAUCGUUUUGAUCCUAUCUGGUUUUAUGCUAGAUCCUCUGUUUUUUUCUCUUUUUUUUUCAUAGUUUUCUUAGGUUCCUUCUGUUCAUGUAAAUAUUAUCUUUGAAUAUAUAUAUAUAUUUUUUAUGGGAAAUUGAUGGACUGGUGGAGAGUGGCGAGUGGAGAGGAAAUGGAUGAUAUUGACCUUUGUUUUAUGUGUAGUUACUCAUAAUUUUUCAAUUUUGAGGGAUUCAUACAGUUUGGUUUUGUUCUAUUUCUCAUAAUUCUCUGUUUUUUCUUUAUUUUUCUUUAUCA